AAGACCUUGCACUUUUGGAGCGGCCGAUGUCUGAUUAGCUAGUUGGUGGGGUAAUGGCCUACCAAAGCUUCGAUCAGUAGCUGGUCUGAGAGGACGGCCAGCCACACUGGGACUGAGACACGGCCCAGACUCCUACGGGAGGCAGCAGUGGGGAAUUUUGGACAAUGGGCGCAAGUCUGAUCCAGCCAUGCCGCGUGAGUGAAGAAGGCCUUCGGGUUGUAAAGCUCUUUCAGCCGGGAAGAAAAGGUUGCGAUUAAUAAUCGCAAUUUAUGACGGUACCGGAAGAAGAAGCACCGGCUAACUACGUGCCAGCAGCCGCGGUAAUACGUAGGGUGCGAGCGUUAAUCGGAAUUACUGGGCGUAAAGGGUGCGCAGGCGGUUUUGUAAGUCAGAUGUGAAAUCCCCGGGCUUAACCUGGGAACU
rnacentral:rRNA from 1 species